CCUACGGGGGGCAGCAGUGAGGAAUAUUGGUCAAUGGGCGAGAGCCUGAACCAGCCAAGUCGCGUGAGGGAGUACUGCCCUAUGGGUUGUAAACCUCUUUUGUCGGGGAGCAAAAGCCGGACGUGUCCGGCUGUGAGAGUACCCGAAGAAAAAGCAUCGGCUAACUCCGUGCCAGCAGCCGCGGUACUACGGAGGAUGCGAGCGUUAUCCGGAUUUAUUGGGGUUAAAGGGUGCGCAGGCGGAUUUUUAAGUCAGCGGUCAAAUCGUGGGGCUCAACCCCAUCCAGCCGUUGAAACUGGGGAUCUAGAGUGUGCGAGAGGUAUGCGGAAUGCGUGGUGUAGCGGUGAAAUGCAUAGAUAUCACGCAGAACCCCGAUUGCGAAGGCAGCAUACCGGUGCACAACUGACGCUCAGGCACGAAAGCGUGGGUAUCGAACAGGAUUAGAUACCCUUGUAGUC
rnacentral:rRNA from 1 species